rnacentral:rRNA from 1 species
UACGGGGGGGGUAAGCGUUGUUCGGAAUUACUGGGCGUAAAGGGCUCGUAGGCGGCCAGCUAAGUCGGACGUGAAAUCCCUCAGCUUAACUGGGGAACUGCGUCUGAUACUGGCGAGCUUGAGUGCAGGAGAGGAACGCGGAAUUCCAGGUGUAGCGGUGAAAUGCGUAGAUAUCUGGAGGAACACCGGUGGCGAAGGCGGCGUUCUGGACUGCAACUGACACUGAGAAACGAAAGCCAGGGUAGCAAACGGG